rnacentral:rRNA from 1 species
GUGGGGAAUUUUGGACAAUGGGCGCAAGCCUGAUCCAGCAAUGCCGCGUGCAGGAAGAAGGCCUUCGGGUUGUAAACUGCUUUUGUACGGAACGAAACGGUCCUGGCUAAUAUCCGGGGCUAAUGACGGUACCGUAAGAAUAAGCACCGGCUAACUACGUGCCAGCAGCCGCGGUAAUACGUAGGGUGCGAGCGUUAAUCGGAAUUACUGGGCGUAAAGCGUGCGCAGGCGGUGCUGUAAGACAGGCGUGAAAUCCCCGGGCUCAACCUGGGAAUUGCGCUUGUGACUGCAGUGCUGGAGUGCGGCAGAGGGGGGUGGAAUUCCUGGUGUAGCAGUGAAAUGCGUAGAUAUCAGGAGGAACACCGAUGGCGAAGGCAGCCCCCUGGGCCUGCACUGACGCUCAUGCACGAAAGCGUGGGGAGCAAACAGGAUUAGAUACCCCAGUAGUCC